rnacentral:piRNA from 1 species
UGCUAGGUACUGUCGUGGCAGGUGGCC